UACGUAGGGGGCAAGCGUUGUCCGGAUUUAUUGGGCGUAAAGAGCGUGUAGGCGGCCUGACAGGUCUGCUGUGAAAAUCCGGGGCUCAACCCCGGACUUGCAGUGGGUACGGGCAGACUAGAGUGUGGUAGGGGAGACUGGAAUUCCUGGUGUAGCGGUGAAAUGCGCAGAUAUCAGGAGGAACACCCGUGGCGAAGGCGGCGAGCUGGUCCAUUACUGACGCUGAGGCGCGAAAGCGUGGGGAGCAAACAGG
rnacentral:rRNA from 1 species